rnacentral:rRNA from 1 species
AUUGAACGCUGGCGGCAGGCCUAACACAUGCAAGUCGAGCGGAGCGGCGGACGGGUGCGUAAUGCCUAGGACUCUGACUGGUCGUGGGGGAUGGGGUCAGGAAACGGGCGCUGAUACCGCAUCCUCUCAGAAGAGCAUAGGUCGGAUUAGCUAGUGGGUGGGGUAAAGGCAUACCAAGGCGACGAUCCGUAACUGGUCUGAGAGGAUGAUCAGUCACACUGGAACUGAGACACGGUCCAGACUCCUACGGGAGGCAGCAGUGGGGAAUAUUGGACAAUGGGCGAAAGCCUGAUCCAGCCAUGCCGCGUGUGUGAAGAAGGUCUUCGGAUUGUAAAGCACUUUAAGUUGGGAGGCGUUACCAACAGAAGAAGCACCGGCUAACUUCGUGCCAGCAGCCGCGGUAAUUC